CCAAAUACGUAAUUCUUCUACUGUUUUCUGUUCUUCAUCUACAAAAGUGUACACUUUGCUAGAGGCUCGAGGAACUACUGGCGCUCCUACAGUUCCAUCAAAUGUCAAGGAUGCAAAUCCUGCACUGGUAAUUCCUUGCAUUUGUCCAUUGUAUUCUCUGAUCUUUACUCUAUGAAAUCUAACAAUAUCUCCGUUUUUGUAAAUUUUUGGUAGAGAAUCUAGAUUUCCAUUGAAAAGAGUGCAUGUUAACUUCACAUUCGAUUGGUCCACAAGUGUUACAACUGAGCAGUAAUCUGUUCCUUUGCUUAUGUAAGGAGGCUUGAAGAAUUUCACAAUGCCG
rnacentral:lncRNA from 1 species